AUGGGGGACAUGGAGCAUCCACGAGCUGCUGGAGUUGGUCAUCCUGUGAUGCCGUCGAGGUGGUUUCCACCAACUGAAGGAGCAGCCAAAGAAAAUGUUGAUGGUGCAAUUUCAUUUCAGAAUAAUAGGUGUGCUGCAGCAGCGAUAUUCAGAAGUGAAGGUGGAGUAUUUUUGGGUGCUUCGGUCCAGGUGAUCAAUGGUGUGAUAGACCCACCAUGUGCUGCUGAAGCUAUAACUUGUAGGGAGGCAUUGUUCUUAGCGUGGGAUAUUAAUGUUCAGCGUGCAGAUGUGGCAUCAGAUUGGAUGGAUGUUGUACGUGCUAUGGAGAAAGGGAGCAGAUGCGGGAAUUCCAUGAUCAUUAAGGAGGUUGCGAGUUUGAGUGCUGAAUUAGGAGAUUUUAAGUUUAAAUUUGAGAGGAGAGAAGACAAUGUUGAUGCUCAUAAUAACAUUGCUAAGAACUCUUUACAUCUUCCGUAA
rnacentral:rRNA from 1 species